GCCCGUGUGGUGCAGUGGUUAGCAUUCCAUGAGGAGUUGGCCCUUCGAAGCGUUUGGAAUUACAGAAAAAAACACAACACCCACAAAAACCGCUACCUCAUGGGGCCCAGGUUCGAAUCCUGGCACGGGCA